CCUACGGGUGGCAGCAGUAGGGAAUAUUGCUCAAUGGGGGCAACCCUGACGCAGCAACGCCGCGUGGAGGAUGAAGGUUUUCGGGUUGUAAACUCCUUUUGUGAGAGACGAUGAUAGCGAUGUCUAACGAAUAAGCACCGGCUAACUCCGUGCCAGCAGCCGCGGUAAUACGGAGGGGGCAAGCGUUACUCGGAUUCACUGGGUGUAAAGAGCGCGUAGGCGGGAUAGCAAGUCAGAUGUGAAAUCCUAUGGCUUAACCAUAGUACUGCAUUUGAAACUGUUAUUCUAGAGUACUGGAGAGGUAGUUGGAAUUCUUGGUGUAGGGGUAAAAUGCGUAGAGAUACAGAGGAAUA
rnacentral:rRNA from 1 species